UGCGGAGGGAUCAUUACUGAGUUAGGGAGCAAUCCCGACCUCCAACCCUUUGUGAACGCAUCAUGUUGCUUCGGGGGCGACCCUGCCGUUCGCGGCAUUCCCCCCGGAGGUCAUCAAAACACUGCAUUCUUACGUCGGAGUAAAAAGUUAAUUUAAUAAAACUUUCAACAACGGAUCUCUUGGUUCUGGCAUCGAUGAAGAACGCAGCGAAAUGCGAUAAGUAAUGUGAAUUGCAGAAUUCAGUGAAUCAUCGAAUCUUUGAACGCACAUUGCGCCCCCUGGUAUUCCGGGGGGCAUGCCUGUUCGAGCGUCAUUUCACCACUCAAGCCUCGCUUGGUAUUGGGCGUCGCGAGUCUCUCGCGUGCCUCAAAGUCUCCGGCUGUCUUGAUUCAAUUCCCAGCGUUGUGGCAACUAUUUCGCAGUGGAAACGAGUCAAAGUGGCCGUUAAAUCUUUCAAAGGUUGACCUCGGAUCAGGUAGGGAUACCCGCUGAACUUAAGCAUAUCAAUAAGGCGGGAGGAA
rnacentral:rRNA from 1 species